GUGGUCUUAAUAUAGUGUAGGUAGACCGCGUGUCAAAUUUCAUCGGAUUCGGAGGUCGUUUGAUACCCGACCCAUUAAACCUAUUGCAACACUAUAGCCAGUCCAUUGUGAGACGUUUUGAUGUUUAAAAUCUGAUGUCAGGCUGCCCGUCUUCACUCUCAUCCCUGCCUAUCCUCUUUGCACAAUGCACCGAACUGCUCUCAACCUAGUCCGAAAACCUC
rnacentral:lncRNA from 1 species